UGGAGGUCUGCAGGACUAUAGAGGGCAUGAGCUCAGGAGCUCAGGCCAGCUCAUGGUGCAGGGCCUCUG
ensembl:miRNA